rnacentral:rRNA from 1 species
UACGUAGGCAGCGAGCGUUGUUCGGAGUUACUGGGCGUAAAGGGUGUGUAGGCGGUUCUUUAAGUUUGGUGUGAAAUCUCCCGGCUCAACCGGGAGGGUGCGCCGAAUACUGAGGGACUAGAGUACGGGAGAGGAGAGUGGAAUUCCUGGUGUAGCGGUGAAAUGCGUAGAUAUCAAGAGGAACACCUGAGGUGAAGACGGGUUGCUGGGCUGAUACUGACGCUGAGGCGCGAAAGCUAGGGUAGCAAACGGG